rnacentral:rRNA from 1 species
CGUUGUUCGGAAUUACUGGGCGUAAAGCGCGCGUAGGCGGCUCUUCAAGUCGGGUGUGAAAGCUCCAGGCUUAACCUGGGAAUUGCGCUCGAUACUGUUGAGCUAGAGUGUGGAAGGGGCUACUGGAAUUCCGUGUGUAGCGGUGAAAUGCGUAGAUAUACGGAGGAACACCAGCGGCGAAGGCGGGUAGCUGGACCAACACUGACACUGAGAGACGAAAGCUAGGGGAGCAAAUGGG